UUUAUGUUGAUUUUGCACUCGAUUCGAUGGUUCUAAAUGAUUUAAUCUCACACAAGCUGUGUUGAAUUUUGAUAAAGCUGGUACACUGCCUUCAAAUCUGGCUGUAUCUGGGAACAAAAAUAACAGUUGCAGAAAUUUGGGGUUUUUGGAGGAGUGAAGUUGGGUAGAAGCUUUCGGGCUUCGGUGGUCUUCUUGGUUAUAAUGGUUCUCCACAUCGUGGCUAUUUUAUUGUUUACUAGAGGUAAUCUCCUUCUCAAUCAGGCCGAACUUUCCCAAUAUAGUCGAUGCUCCGAUGUUUUCGAGUCUCCUUGUUUCCUCCUUAUGAUCACAAUGUUAACAACUCCUGUGGAGCAAUGGCUAACAUGACGAAACCUGCAGUUGACGGGGCUCGUUGUAAUUGUUCUCGAUACUCGCAGGUAUUCUUCAUAUUGCUCUCUGGAGAAGUAAAUUUAGCCUGAUUAAUCAUUAAAUCAAAACUCUUUUACUAUAAAACAAUAUCCAUACCACAUUUUAAAAAUCCUGAUUUAUAGGUUUGAUUUUGUUACUCCAAGUACCUUCUAUGCAGGCAAGGACUUCGACUUCAUUGUGAAUCAGUUUGCUUUUGCAUUUUCACAUGUCCCGUGAUACGCAUUUUCCUACAGAACUAUGUUUUUUUAAUGUUCUAUAUUCGAGUAGCUUUGCCAAACCAUUUACCAUUUAUUCCAUUUUUAUUGAUAAGAAUUUCCACAAGUGAAACCAUGGAUGAAUAAGCUAUAUUCAGUUACACUGUCUAAAGGUGAUGAUCUUAUGUUUUAUCAUUUUAUUUUUGAAAUUUUAUUAAGUGACUUGAGGGUCUUUCUAGAGUUGGUUAAUAGGUCACUCUAUUCCCUCAUUAGACUAAACAAAGUUGCAUUGAUGUCUGUGUUUUAUGGUCUAGUUUUUGUACACUUAGCUGGAUAUUAGAUAUUUGAGGAAUUUUAAAUUGACCUUCUUACAAUGUGGAAACUGCAAAAUAGCCUUACACUUUGAUUCUUUGUUUAAAAGGCCUUGUUUUUAUGUAAAUAUCUUAACUAUCCAUACUAGAAGCGACACUAAUUGAGUCAAAUUGACCCUAACCUGUUAAAAUCAACAUAUUUCUAUAUUGACCCCAAAACAGGUCGAAAUCAACACUUGUUUGCUACCUAAACCAAUACAAAUCAACAUAUUUCUAGUAGUACUUCCUAUCAACCUGCAUUGAAGGUUAAGUUUGUUAUUUUUGAUAUCUCUAUCCUUAAAUUUUAUUUCCAUCAUUAAUUAGUCAUUCUACUGCUGUUGGGGCAGAGAAAUUUAAUAAUAUCUUCUAAUUGUUGUGCUAAUGGAAAUAUCUCUUUUUCACUCUUGAAUUUUUGCCCUUCUAAAGUAUUGUCUAACUUUUUAGGAUGAGAAUUUACUAUUCAAAACCCAUCACCCUGCCAGUUGGCAAAGAAAAGAAAGAAACACAAAGUAUUCUUGUUCAUAUUGAAUUUCAGGUACUUAAUUAGCAUGCUUGCAUUUGUGCGAUCUUCCAUCCUAUCUAUUGUGAAUACAAGCUUGUAAAUUUAAGAAAGACAGAGAAGUCAGAUUUGUUAUUGAAGCCAUACAUUCUAUGUUAAGGUGCUACAACUUUGUCGCAAGCAAAAGUUCAUUCUUGAACAUUUAAAUUCACCGAGAAUUUCGAGGAAAUUAUGUAUAUUACAUUAUUGAAUUGACAAGAAUAAUCUAAACUACAUGUGGAUUAAGUUUUGUUGAAGUUUCCUUUUUAAGCAAAUUGGAUGUUGCAAUUUUUAUUGAUGCAUUAGAGUUUUAUUAUAGUAUUAGGUGCAAAAGCAUAUUUUUAAAUUAUGAUGCACCGACAAGGACACGUGUCUCCGAAACGAUACGUAUUGGAUAUGUUGAUAUCCGAUUUUUCAAAAAGUAGCGAUACUAUACAUCACCGGCAUGUUGAUUGAAUUCUUUAAAAUUUUUCAUUUAUAUAAUAUAAGUUUAAUUUUAUACUUUAUUAAUUUUUCUUAUUGAAAUAUUUCAAAUAUAAGUAUCUAUUUUUUAUUUACUAAUAACUUUGAGUUAAAAAUAUACAAUAUUUUUAAUAAAAAUUGAAUUUUUUUAUCGUAGAGUGUUCGAGAAGUGUCAGUAUCGACACAUGUCUGACACGGACACUUUACCCUAGUUGAAGUGUCCAUACUACAAAGUUUUUAAAUAAAGCUUUCUCAAAUCCUAUCUACAUGAUCCAAGAUUUGAUAUAUGCGGGGAUGGAAUUGUGUCCAGAUCAUCAAGGAACAAAGAGACUGUUAAUUUCCAUAAUGACCCUCUACAACUUGAAAUGCAUGUAUAUUUCUAUCCCUCCAAAUCUCUAGCACGAGGAACUGUGGUUCCAUGAGCCAACUUCUAGUUUUGUUUUCCCAGCAACUUUUUUGACAAACAGAAGUAAUUUCUGCACAGGGGCAUGCACUAAUAACAAAGACCUUGAAAUUUGACACCAAAACUCAAAAACACCUCAUUGCAACGGGCUAAUGGAAAAAUGUUUACGCUUGUUUUCUAGUCUCUUAUGAGCCCCUGAGAGAUGAAAUUUUAAAAUUCUGUUUGAAGAGGACUGUUUAAACAACCAUUGGAUUAAACAAAUUGAUGAUCAAGUUUUGUGUAUAAAGGCAUGGCACAUUUUACUUCAAUUUAUCUUUGAUGCCAUAUUAUUUUUUUUGGGGCUUGACAACUGGUGGACUUCCCACUUUUAUUGACGUAGAAAACAGCUAUGGUGCACUAUCAAUGCAGAAGGUAACUUGAUACAUCAGGUCUGGCACUGUAUUUGAUUUAGGCUUUGGCAUCAGAUGCAUCUAAUUUAAUUUCUUAUAUAACAGUUAAUUUGUUUGCCAACGUUCAUAAUUUUUGUCUUUAUUUCCUUCUUUUAUCAUGCCUCUCACUCAGUCACGUUAAAGAUCUUCAUACGGCAUGCAUUACUUUUCAUCAAUGUUUUUGCUCAAAAUCUAUCGUGCUCAUGAAACAACGAUGUGUUUUUAAUUUAAUGUUCUAUUUAAAUAUCUAAAUAAGUUUUCUUUUCCUAAUAUUUAGCUCCCUCUUGAGAUCUUUAUGGCCUUGUCUGUCAGGUGGAUGGCAGGUGCAUCAAGAACUUGCUUCCAACCCUGUACAGAGAGUAUUUGCUCAUAGUACCCUUUCUUGGAGUGGUAUGAUUUCUGCUUAUUUUCAUUAUUUUGGUUGCUAAUUUAUUAGAAGCUAGUUUAUUUAUUCUCCAGAUAUGGGAGAAGUGUAGCGACGGAAAAAAAAAUAAAAAAAAAUGUUGUGUUUCGUUUUAAAAUAAAAUUU
rnacentral:lncRNA from 1 species